UACGUAGGGCGCAAGCGUUGUCCGGAAUUAUUGGGCGUAAAGAGCUCGUAGGCGGCCUGUCGCGUCUGCUGUGAAAUCCCGGGGCUUAACCCCGGGCGUGCAGUGGAUACGGGCUGGCUGGAGGCAGGCAGGGGAGAAUGGAAUUCCCGGUGUAGCGGUGAAAUGCGCAGAUAUCGGGAGGAACACCGGUGGCGAAGGCGGUUCUCUGGGCCGAUACUGACGCUGAGGAGCGAAAGCGUGGGGAGCGAACAGG
rnacentral:rRNA from 1 species